CCUGUAAUAUCUACUUGUUCUCACACAGAACACUUGGCUGCAGGGACAUAUUCCCAUUGUUCCUGCCCAGGUUUCAGGAUUCAGUGUUGUCUUUCCUAGGAGCUGCUCCUUCAGCUGCCUCAGGAGGCCCUUUUGGUCUCCGGGCCCUCACUCUGGCUCCAUUGUUAGGACUGCUGGAUCCAAACCCUUUAUCUCCACAAAUGGUAAUGACUGGAGGUGCAUCUCCAUUAUUCAUAAUCGUGCUUAAAAUUGCAAUAUCAAUAAUUGUGCUACCCUGUCAUGGGGUUGAAUAACCCAAUCUUACUGACAAUUAUUUAACAGAAUUACUGUAAUUUCUCCUUUAUAUUCAGCAUCAAUUCCUCCUUUCCUCCUGCCAUGACAUGAACAUUUUGCAAGGCCAACCCCCACCGAGCAGUUACCAAACCAAAGUGUCCUGGAGGAAUCUGAAUUCCUGUCUCAGUACUGACAGCUUUCGUUUGCUUUGGAUUUAUCCUCAUUAAUUCCAAUGCAUGAAGGUCCAGCCCUGCAGUCUCUGGGCUGGCCCUGCCAGGGGCCAUCACACCCACAACAAUUUCCCAGGCAGUCCAAGUCUCACUGCCCAUGGUUGUAGUUGCAAAUUGGGUGCAGCUGUGCACAGCCAGGGGUUUCCAUUUCCCUAGUGGGCCAUUGUUAAGGACAUGGAGCACAACUGGAAGAUGGGUUCUCCAUGGGGACAGGUUCCCAUCUCCUAAUUUUUCCACUGCUCUUUUAACAACCCCUUCACCUGUUCAACAAAUCCUGCAGCUUGUGGAUAGUCUGGUUCAUGAAAAACCCUGCAGUCUUCAUCACAGUAUUUUUCACAGUAACAGACAAAGCAUUCUGCAUCACAGUAUCAGCAAACCCUGUAAAAUAGACAAUUUUAUCCCCUCCUCCUUUUUUCAUUGUAUACAAUCUCACAAAGUUUACCUCUGACAUUAGGGUCCUGGCCAAUCCUUUUCUGUAGAGUGUUUGAUGUUACAUCCCUGAGCAGCCAAAGCUACCAAAUUAGUAUUGUCAGCACUAUUUCACAUUAUUACUAUUUUAUACGUAGAUAUAGAUAUUGAUAUAGAAAUAUAGAUAUAGCUAGAUAGAUAUAGACAUACAUAUAAAUAUAUAUAUUAAGGCCUUAUUAUACUAUAAAUAUGUACAUAGUUAUUUAUGAUAUUAAUAUUUCACUUGCACAAAUGCAUGGGAGCUCAAGAUUAAAACCUUCUUCUGUUGCUCCAUGUGGGAGCAUUCCAACAAUAAUCGUUCCUUCUGAAGGUGCUAUUUCCAAUGUACUGUUAACAAAUUCAUCUUUGUCUGCCCAAACCCACAAGUUCUUUUCCUUUCCCAUAUGCAAUUUUUUGAUAACUUUUAAGACAUCCAGGGGUUCAGCUUCUUUUAACCAACUGCCCCACUGCUCACACAGUGCUGCGACCUCAGCCCACUCCAGAGCCAGCCAACUCCAGGGAAGGGCUUCCCAUCUGGGAAUUUCUGAUGCCACUGAUUCCUCACAUUUACAUUUAACAAGUGACAUUUUGCUGUGAUCUGGCCAGACUCUGCCAGUUUUGUUUAACCAGUGGGCAGGGUCAGCCUCAAAGACACAGACUCCAACUGAAGGAAUCAGUGUCAUUUACUGCAGCUCAAAGCAGCAAAGGAUCACAAAAGGUGCAGCUCAGCAAUGCACCCAAUCAUCACCACCAAAGAUUGCAGCAGUGAAUAAGAAAGAUCCAGCAUCAUUUACCCUCAGACUUCACCAUCCCCCAGAUCCACACAGCAGCAGGGGAAGCUGUCCCAGCCAAGGGCUGCAGAGCCACUCCUGGACACUGGGAAUUCCUGCAGGUGCCUCCAGCCACAGAGAAAUGGAUCAUACACCCUGUACAUAUUACCCAGUCACAGAAAGAGUCACUGCUAUAAUUAUUAGCUUUUCCCUGCGUGGAAACACGUUCCUAGGGCAUGCCUGGCUGAACCUCAUCAAGAAUUACAAUUUUAUCGGGCUGAGAUAAAGCUCAGUGGAAAUGCAGCCCUCGGUGAGCGUGGCAGGGAGCUCCAGGACAGGACACCUGGGCACCGGACCAUGAAAGCCUGAGAGGGAACAGCCAGCAAAUUACUGCCUCUGCAGGAAGUCUGGAAUGUUUCAUUCUAUUUCUUUCACAUAUUAAUGUUGCAUUGACAGCUGCUCAAGCUUAAAACAUCUUUAACUGAAAGGUUAAAUGAGAGACAUGGGAAGAUCCCAAAGAAAAGGUUCAUCUCUCUUUAUAGUUAUGUCAUAUGGAUUUGUGUUACCCAGUGGCAAGUCUUUCUAGAUGCAAUUUAUUCACAGUGAGUACUUGAAGCUUCUUGUAUCCCUUACUUCCUUUUAUUUGUGCAAGGCUGUUCAAUACAACAUCUGCAUCCAUGCUUCCUAAUAGCUUCAUCUGUGGAUCUCUGUAAGUGGGGUUUUUUUGCAUUGUAAGAUGUACACAAAAGGUUUGUUGUUGAUUACACAUAUAAUUUCUUACAAGUCAACACUGCUGUUGUAAAGAGGUUCUAUAGCAAAACAUAUUUUGAACUGUUUUUUUCAGGCACCAACUUUCCUUUCAGUUUAAGACAUGGUUUUAAUUAUAAAUAAAAUUAAAUUAAAUUUUGAUUAUAAUGUAUAAAA